rnacentral:rRNA from 1 species
UACGUAGGGGGCAAGCGUUGUCCGGAUUUAUUGGGCGUAAAGAGCGUGUAGGCGGCCAGACAGGUCCGUUGUGAAAACUCGAGGCUCAACCUCGAGAUGUCGAUGGAAACCGUCUGGCUAGAGUCCGGAAGAGGAGUGUGGAAUUCCUGGUGUAGCGGUGAAAUGCGCAGAUAUCAGGAGGAACACCGAUGGCGAAGGCAGUGUUCUGGGCCAGUACUGACGCUGAGGAGCGAAAGUGUGGGGAGUCAAACAGG